UACGGGGGGGGCAAGCGUUGUUCGGAAUUACUGGGCGUAAAGGGCGCGUAGGCGGCCUACUAAGUCGGACGUGAAAUCCCUCGGCUCAACCGGGGAACUGCGUCCGAUACUGGUGGGCUCGAAUCCGGGAGAGGGAUGUGGAAUUCCAGGUGUAGCGGUGAAAUGCGUAGAUAUCUGGAGGAACACCGGUGGCGAAGGCGGCAUCCUGGACCGGUAUUGACGCUGAGGAGCGAAAGCCAGGGGAGCAAACGGG
rnacentral:rRNA from 1 species